GGGGCGGUAGCUACAGCCUGGGAGAGCACUCGGCUGAAGACCGAGUUGUCAUGGGUUCAAAUCCCAUCCGCCCCA
rnacentral:tRNA from 1 species